GUCCAGAUGGCGCAGUGGUUUACGCAACUGUCUAGCAAGCAGGAGAUCCCAGGUUCGAAUCCUGGUCUAGCACA